rnacentral:lncRNA from 1 species
GGGAAUAGGGGGGGUAAGGGAAUAGGGGGGGGGUUAUUGGUUUGUUUUGUCUUUGUAAAUUGCACAUCAAAACUGCCCCACUGAUGGUGGGACGCGGAGCUGAACCCGUUGUGCUUGGAACCAGCGGUGGGAGGAAGGAGGAGCUGAACCCCCCCAUAUAGGACAGUGCCCACAUCUCCCAUCCCAUGGCGCAGAGAUACCACCCCCCCCACACCCCACAUCCAACCCCCCUCCCCUUCCCAGCAUCAAACAGAUGAGCACCCCCCCACCCCCACCCCCAGUGCCAAUGGGGCAGCAAUGGGGCAGCAGUGGGGCACAGAGCUGCUGCCAUCCGGUUAUCACAAGAGGUAGUGAGAACAGUGCAGAAAGGACACAACUCAGAGCUCUCAGUUUCCAACCACCUCGCUCUGACCCUCCCCAAUGCCACACAUUGGCACUGGGAUGAGGUCUGGGGAGGAGGGGGGGGGGGGUUGUGGGGAUACCCCCCCCCCUAUGGGGCUCAUCCCACUCUGGGCAUCAGUAAAGUGCUGUUGGCGCUGGGCUGGGGGGUGUGGGACCCCCCGGGAAUGCCACGCUGAGCUCCUUGUGCAGCCCCCCCCCCCCCAUCGGGGGCUCUAUUGCUUUGGGGACGUGGGGGGCUGCACACUCACACUGCCCCUAUUUGGCACCACUACGCCCUGGCAGCACAGCAAGACCCUAAAAGGAACCUGCAGUGCUCAGCAAUGAGAAAGGGAGCAAUGCUUCUUUAUCCCAACCCCAACACACACACAUAGAGGAGGGUAAGGAAAGGGCAGAACCUUCUGGGUAACUCCUAAAGGAAGAGGAUUCAAAGCAUCACAGCUCCUGGCCUUAUGCUGCACCUAUGGGUGCUUUGGUGCACAGACCCCAAACUGCUCUGACCCCAUCCCAAACUGCCCAUGGUGCCGUAGUGCAAUAACUUGGGAAUGGAAUGAAUGUUAUCAGCAGUGAGACGGCCGGCCCAGCUGCAAUCCUACUGCCUACGGAUGGCACGACCCCAUAUAGUGCUCACAAUGACCCUAUAUGGCACUGGGACCACACACACCAACCCUAUGGACACCAGGACCCCAAAUGAUGCUCACAAUGACCCUAAGGGCACCAGGACCCCAAAUGAUGCUCACAAUGACCCUAAGGACACUGGGACCCCAAAUGGUGCUCACAUUGACCCUAAGGACACCAGGACCCCAAAUGGUGCUCACAAUGACCCUAAGGACACCAGGACCCCAAACAGUGCUCACACCGACCCUAAGGACAGGGGAACCCCAAACGAUGUUCACACCAACCCCAUGGACAGUGGGACUCCAAAUGAUGCUCACACUGACCCUAAGGGCUGCAGGACCCCAAAUGAUGCUCACACUGACCCAGCCGGAGCCCACCCCACGUCCUGGCUGAGGGAUGGAAGGAAGGACAGACGGCUGGACGGCAGCUCACCACCACAGAGCAGCGCUGGGAGCAGAGCACAGCAGUUCACCCUCCGGCAGCCAUUCAUUCCUUGCAGCUCUGGGUGAGGAAAGAAGAGAGGAGAGGAAAGGAAAGGAGAAGCCAAACCCCGCAGCCGCCCCGCACGCGGCUUAGCCAGGCCAAAGCUUUCCAUGCGUUCACUUUUAUUAUGGUCAAGUCGAACAAGAUCAAUAGGACGGGAUCGAGUAAGGCCAUGUUCCUCUUAUUAGUAGUAAUAGUAAUAAGUAUUUUUUUUCCUCCUUCUUUGAACGAGCUCAGACAAUACCCAGACACGCGGAUCCACACACACACACAGGGAACAACCGGGACACAGAGGAGGAAGAGUCGUUGUACCUGACUGCUGCUGAGGUCUGUCCUAUCGUAUCCAAAGAAACGUUUAUGUGCAUAAUAUACAGAGGUGCAGCAUUUACACACAGGAUAUUGUAAAGACACAGAGCUUGCUACAGAUGCCUUCAAGUCCUUGGAGACGCGUCCCCCAUUCCUGCUGCCCGGAGCUCUGCUUUAUGAACCCAUAAAGGGGAGGAGAGGUGCCACCAGCUCCAUGGCGUCCUUGGAGAGAAACGAAGAAAGAAAGCCAACAGAAAAGAAGGAAAAAAAAAGAGAAAAAAGAAAAAAAAAACCCAACAAAAAAACACUAAAACACCCCCAUAACGAUCCCCAAUGGAAAGGGGUGGCUUGCUUUGUCCUUUGGUUUCUUACUGAAGGCAAAGCGGGACGCGCUCCUCAAGGCUGGGAUGCUUCUAUGGUCCCUAUGGGGGGCAGCAAAGGGGGUUCAGCCCCCCAAAACCCCCCCCCCGGGUCCCACCACGCAAUGCAAAGAAACCAAAAAAGGUUGUUUCUGGGGUGUGUGGUUUGUUCUUAGUGUCGGUUUUUGCUCCUCGCUGCGUUGGGUGCCGCAGCUCGGGGUGCCCAAAUCAUAGAGUCCUUCCUGUUAUUUUACUCCUAUUUCUUUAUAGGGUUUUUUUUUUGUUUUACGCUUUGUUUUUGGACUUGUUAAACUCAGCCCCAAUGGGGAUGGUGGGGUCUGGGACUGUCUGGGGGGGUAAAAGGGAUUGGGGGGGGUCUUACAUCUCCUUAAGGAAACACAAAUCGCCUGCAGCUUGGGAACAGCAACAAGAGAACACACCGAGCACCUCCUCACCACCACUGGGUUAUUUGGGACUAUGGAAGUGCCUGGCAGGAUAAAAGCCAAUCGCAGCUGCCGGGUUCCUCCGGGGUUGGUGCUUGUUUUACAUUCAGUGUUUGUCAGCAGUUUCUAUGGCUCAGGUGGGCGGCUCGGCCCGGAAUUCUAUCAAUGGCAGUGCAAAAAAAUCCACCUUUAACGACUUGAAAUGUAGGUUUGUGCUGUUUGGUUUUUGGUUUUGGUUCGGUUCUUUGUUUCUUUUUAUUUCUCCUCCUUUCUCUCUCCUAUAACCCAACUUUCCCUUUCGUUCCCUAGAAACAAACCUUUUUUUUUUUCCUUUUUUUUUUUUUUUUCUUUUUUUUUCUGUUUUUUUUUCUUGAGUUAAAAAAACCCAAAAAAAUGUAAAAUAAUCAAGAAAUUAAUAAUAAUUAAUAAUUAAUAAUAAUAAAAAAAAAAGCAAAACCCA